GAUGAACGCUGGCGGCGUGCUUAACNCAUGCAAGUCGAACGAAGCACCUUGGAAUGCGUCUUCGGACAAGUGAAUUGGUGACUUAGUGGCGGACGGGUGAGUAACGCGUGGGUAACCUGCCUCACACAGGGGGAUAACAGUUAGAAAUGACUGCUAAAACCGCAUAACAUGGCGAGACCGCAUGACCUUGCCAUCAAAUAUUUAUAGGUGUGAGAUGGGCCCGCGUCUGAUUAGCUAGUUGGUAAGGUAACGGCUUACCAAGGCGACGAUCCAUAGCCGACCUGAGAGGUGACCGGCCACAUUGGGACUGAGACACGGGCCCAAACUCCUACGGGAGCAGCAGUGGGGAAUAUUGCACAAUGGGCGAAAGCCUGAUGCAGCGACGCCGCGUGAGCGAUGAAGUAUUUCGGUAUGUAAAGCUCUAUCAGCAGGGAAGAAAAGUGACGGUACCUGACU
rnacentral:rRNA from 1 species